AUUGAACGCUGGCGGCAUGCUUUACACAUGCAAGUCGAACGGUAACAGGCCUUCGGGUGCUGACGAGUGGCGAACGGGUGAGUAAUGCAUCGGAACGUACCCAGAGGUGGGGGAUAACGCAGCGAAAGCUGUGCUAAUACCGCAUGUGAUCUGAGGAUGAAAGCGGGGGACCGAGCAGCAAUGUUUGGCCUCGCGCCUUUGGAGCGGCCGAUGUCGUAUUAGCUAGUUGGGGGGGUAAAGGCCUACCAAGGCGACGAUCCGUAGCUGGUCUGAGAGGACGACCAGCCACACUGGGACUGAGACACGGCCCAGACUCCUACGGGAGGCAGCAGUGGGGAAUUUUGGACAAUGGGCGCAAGCCUGAUCCAGCAAUGCCGCGUGCGGGAAGAAGGCCUUCGGGUUGUAAACCGCUUUUGGCAGGAACGAAACGGUGUCCGCUAAUACCGGGCGCUAAUGACGGUACCUGCAGAAUAAGCACCGGCUAACUACGUG
rnacentral:rRNA from 1 species